rnacentral:lncRNA from 1 species
UUUGAAGAGGUGCAUUAUAUUUUAUUCUAAUAGUGUAAUAGUAUAAGAACUUAAUUUUCUUUUUAUGCAUCGUGGUAGUAUAGUCGCAACUUGCUUUGCUUUUUUACUUUUUUUUCUUCUUACCGUUGUUUUUUUACUUUUGUAUGUUAGAGGUAGUCAUGCUUGCCUUGUGCUGAUAUAUUGACUUUGUUGAGCUGAGUUUUAUUGAUUAUUAUUCAUUAUAUAUAUAUAUAUA